rnacentral:lncRNA from 1 species
GGCAACCUGCUGCAGUCCCCUUCCACGCUGUGGGAGCUUUGCUCUUUAGCUCUUUGCAAUAAAUCUCGUUACUGCUCACUCUUUGGGUCCACACUGCCUUUAUGAGCUAUGACACUCACCGCGAAGGUCUGCAGCCAGCGAGACCACGAACCCAGCCGGAGGAACAACAACUGCAGACGUGCCACCUUAAGAGCUGUAACGCUCACCGCCAAGGUCUGCAGCUUCACUCCUGAGCCAGCGAGACCACGAACCCACCAGAAGGAAGAAACUCCAAACACAUCUGAACAUCAGAAGGAACAACCUGCGGACACGCCACUUUUAAGAACUGUAACACUCGCUGCGAGGGUCCACGGCUUCAUUCUUGAAGUCAGUGAGACCAAGAACCCACCAAUUCCAGACACAUCAGGGGUGGAUCUUCUGUUGACCUUGGUGGAUAGAUUUAAUUGAGUGGUGAAAAAGAAGGUGGCCUUCUAACUAGGGAAGAACACUGAUGACGGCCCAGAAGUGAGGAGGAGUGUAGUGUACCAAAGCACUAGAGUUUGUCAUUUCCACUCCCAUGCUUUGACUCGUCUUUCUCUUGAAGUGAGCAGAAACAUCCUCCCCAACUUUCAGCAUGACUUUCAACAAUGCUGUUGGGUUGUGUUUGGGCUUCAGUCUCCUUGAUACAGAAGGGCUGGGCUCCCAGCUAAACCCCCCGCUGAAUCCUGGAACUGUGGCCCUAAGUGAAACAGCUUACCCCGUUUUUCCACCCAAAUGUUGCCUUUUUGGCCUGCCCCGCCCCUAUCUUGUGCCCCAAAAAGACUUCAGCCGGCAGAGCAACAGAAGCAGCUGAGCGGCAAUCAGAGAAGCAACUGAGCAUCAGAGACUGUGGACAGACGCAGCUAACUUCAGAUGGUGCAGCUUUGUGGAGAGGGGCCUGGCUGGAGAUGGCUGGGCUUCAGGGAAAGAUCCCCUUCCCAUCAUCCCCUUCCGUUUCCAGCCUCCGUUUCUGCUGAGAGCCACCCACCACCCAAUAAAUUCCUCCACAUGCAUCCCCUUUCAAAUGGUUCAUGUGACCUGAUUCUUCCUGGACAUUGGACAAGAACCCAGGUGCUGAGAGGGCAGGGGCUGCCACCCUGACCCUCCACCAAGCCGGUUGGCACUUGGCUGUUUCCAGACAUAAGAGCUGAAACAGCAUUGGUUGUAACAUGCUUGGACGACGCUACUCGGCCCGCACAGAACCUGCUCCUAGCAGAGAGGAGUGAUUGGCGGUUCCAGCAUUUGUUCAUUCUGGUUCCUGCACACUCUCGCUUGCAUGCUGUCUCCUGUGAGGAGUGGCCAACGCCGGGCUGAGUGAAAUGAGCCACUCCAGUUUCUGCCCAUGAAGGGGAUCAAGGGAACUAUCCCAUCUCAUCUGAAGGCUUGUCCUGGAUACGUCAGACAAGUGAGUACAUGACGAAAUGUCUCUUUUGGGUGAAAAGAAUGUUGGCUCUGUGGCUGUUUUCCUUCACGGUGGUCAAACUGUCUUAUGGGAUGGGAAUAAGGUCCUGGGGAACCAAAGGCAUCUGACUGAGGCCACUCCUCAGUGUUGCUGGAAGGCCCCAAGACUAAACUCCAUCCAUGACUGCCCUAACAGGCGUCGGCCCAAAUCUGCAGACUUUGCUGUGAUAUCUUUGUAUCUUUUCUUCUUUAAUGCCUGCAAAUGGUUUCUAUCUCUUUCUUUCUUUCUUUUUUUUUUUUUUUUUUUGAGACGGAGUCUUGCUCUUGUCCCCCAGGCUGGAGUGCGUGGUGCAAUCUUGGCUCACUGCAACCUCCGCCUCCCAGGUUCAAGUGAUUCUCCUGCCUCAGCCUUCUGAGUAGCUGGGACUACAGGCACCCACCACCAUACCUGGCUAAUAUUUGUAUUUUUACUAGAGAUUGGGUUUCACCAUGUUGGCCAGGCUGGUCUCGAACUCCUGACCUCAGGUGAUCUGCCCACCUCGGCCUCCCAAAGUGCUGGGAUUGCAGGCGUGAGCCACCGUGCCUGACUGGCUUCUAUCUCUCUCAUAAAGAGUUUUGCUACAAACUGCAGAGAUGUUAGGUAGAAUGAGUGUUUGGCCUAGCCAUUAGAUAUGGAAUUCAGAACAAUGUGAUUCCCGUUUUUUCUUAGAGGUGCCAUCCCCACACUCACCCCAACAGCCACGGGCAGGCAUGGUGUGUGGUGGUUCCUCUGCUCACCCCCUCCCCUCCCUGCUUAGGAGCCUGGGCGUGUCUGCUGCAUGCGUGUGCCAUGUUCAAGGGCUAAGCGAGGCAGCAAUGAGCUGCGCACACCUCCCAGUCCCCAGGGAAGCCUCGGGUUAGGGGUCCCAUGUAGCCAGAUGGCUGGCACCUCCCACUUGGCUGGAAAAAGGAUGGGAAAGUGAUCUUUUCCUAAAGCCUAACCGUUUCUGGUCAGACCCUUCUCCAAAACUGCACUGUCUGAAAUUAGCUGUGUUUUUUUAUAGUCUCUGACGCUCAGUUGCUUGUCUGUCACUCAGCCGCUUAUACCUUGACACUCAGCUGUUUGUGUUGCUCUGCCUCUGAAGUUUUUUAUGGGCACAGGAUAGGGGUGGAGCAGGCCAAAAAGGCAAUAUUUGGGUGGAAAAACAGGGUCAGCUGUUUUCACUUAGAGCUGUGGUUCCAGGGUUAAGGUUGGGGUUUAGCCGAGAGCCCAGUCCUUCUGUAUCAUCCUCAUCUGUGAGACAAAGAUGCUGAUGGCCCAGGCAGCUCUAGAGCCAAAGGUUCCACCAUGGUACCCAGUCAUCUUGUUUUACUUCCCAAAGCCUAUUAACAUGACUGAUCCCCAAAGCAUAAUGUCAGCAUUCAAGAUGCUGGUAUAAACCACAGCUAUCAAACCACCUGAACAGGCAAAGAGAGAGAAAGAAAGCCACAUUUGACUCACUCUUCUGAAAGUUACUCCCACAUCAAGUACUCUGUAUACUCCCCACCACACCCCCAGUUCUCCACAUUCAGGCGCUUGAUCUCUUUAAUUCAGUGAGUGACUUAUGCUUAGUUUUAGUCCAUCCUGUUUUCUCUCUUUAAUGUCCUUCAUGAUCUCUUGUUGGAUUCUUAUCUUGCCCUUCUGUGUCACAAUUUCCUAAUUUCCCUUUAAUUCCCUUUCUUAAAAAUUUUUAUCAUUAUUUUUUAAGACAGGGUGGAGUGCAAUGGCAUGAUCAUAGCUCACUGCAGCCUGGAUCUCCCAGGCUCAAGCAGUCUUCCCACAGCCUCCUGAGUAGCUGGGACUACAGGUGUGUGUCAUCACACCUGGCUAAUUUUAAAAAUGUUUGUAGAGACAGAGUUUGCCAUGGUGCCCACACUGGUCUCAAACUCCUGAGCUCAAAGGAUCCUCCUGCCUCAGCCUCCUGAAGUGCUGGGAUUAUAGGCAUGAGCCACUGCACCUGACCUGGAAGCAACAGUUAACAGCCAGCAGAGCUCCCCCUGGCCCAGCUGUGACAACCCAGAAUGCCUCCAAACAUUACCAAGUGCCCUCUGGGAAGAAAAAUCCAAUUCCCACUCCUCUGCACUGUGAACCACUGAUUGAGGGCAUUCUGUGCCUCACUUUGAUUCUUUCCCCUUGGUCUCUGGUGAACUGCCAGGGAAACACCCAGCAUCUGAGAUUUGCACUGUUGCUGGAAAGAAGGAGUGGUGAGAGCUUCCACUCUCAGAACCUAGGCAGUAGCUGCCUAGGACAGAACUGCCCCUACAAAAGAUUCCAUCUGAUCAGGCCUGACCAGGUGGCCCAUGGCUGCUGCCUCCCCAUCAUUUGUCUUCUGUGCUCCCAGUCUUUUACCUGGUGGCCUGCAGUGUCCCUCCCCACCGCAGACAUAAUCGCUGUUGUCCCUGUCAGACCCCUGGGAGGGACCCAGCCAGCCCAAGCUGAUUUCUAGUGGGAGGACACUACUUAGGCCCCCCGUCUCUGUUCUUUUCAUUGUUCAGUCUCCUCAGGUCUUAGCAAUGUCAUUUACAGACUUAGGGUAAGUGCAAAAGCUGGAGACUGCUGCUUCAAUGUCUACAAACUCUAUAAAGAGUUUUUCUACAAACUGCAGAGAUGUUAGGUAGAAUGACAUCUCUGUCAUUCACAGAGAUAGACUUCUCUAUCUUUAGGUAGAAUGACUUCUCUGUCAUCCACUAAGUAGAGUGUGCCAAUGUAAGUACUUGUGUGGUUAGAGUAACCUCACCUGAGAUGGUAUGAAUGCCAGCAAUUUUCAGCGAGAUUGUGAUCAGUUAAACACCCAUUUCCUAAACUAUCUUCAUGAACACGGCAGAAGAGCAAACCUCCAACUGAAAUGAAUACGGAGUCAGCAGGCUGCACUUUCACUUCCAACUGAAUCCACAGUGAUUCCACAAAGACACUGACCUUAGAAGCCAUCUACCAGAGGUGGUAUCUGAAUAGCACUACAUCACCAGUGGACACUGGGUAAGGUUCAUCCGUUUUGUUGAGCAUAGGCUUGUGCCCCAUGAGUUCAGCCAAGGUUAGUACUUUUAGGGCUUGAGUUAACCCCAUUCUUCCAGUGGCACAACUUAGCCUCUUCCACUCUGGAGCUUCAGAGAGGGAAUUAGUUCAGAGAGUUAGUUGUUUUUACAGUUCCACCACUGGAAAAAGGGAACGGGAAUGACUUCUCAGGGAUCAGCAAACUUUUCCUGUAAAGGCAAGUUUGCUGGUCACAUACCAUCUCUCUUUUUUUUUUUUUUUUUUUUUUUACAACCUUUUAAAACUAUAAAAAUCAUUCUUAGCUUCAGAGCUGCACAAAGCCCAUCAUUAUCCAGAUUGGCCUGCUGACCAGAUUUGUUGACCCCUGGCUCAGUUGACACUGAUUUUGAAACAUCUGCACAUCAUUUAACUGGAUAACCCCUUGCUUUGUUAUUCUGAUCUCCAAAGCCAGGGAUAAAAUGGACAGAUUCAUCUAUCCAUUUAUUCACUAACUACUUACUGAGUGCCAACCAUGUCAUAGACACUCAGCAGUGUUCAGAAGACACAAGUUACCAAAACUCAGUUGCCAUCCUCAAGAGCUUAUGUUUAAUGGAGACAAACCACAAAAUAGGCAUUUUCUAUGCAGUGUGAUAAGUGCCACUAUUCCAGUUAUUCAGAAAACAUUUAUGAAGUACCUUAUGUGCUAAACAUGUUCUCAGUACAGGGGGAAGGUAACGCAGUGAACAAGGCAGGAGGCCCUUGGUCUCAGGAAGCUUGCACUGAAGUGGAGAAGCCAGAUAAGCAAGCAGAUAAAUUGCUUUCACAUGGUGGCAGGCAUUUCACAGAAAAUAAAAACAGCAGUGAAGCUGGGUGCAGUGGUGCACACCUAUAAUCACAGCUUCUUGGGAGGCUCAGGAGGGGGAUUGCUUGAGCCCAGGAGUUCAAGUUCAAGUGUUCCUAGACCAAAACGAGGAUCAGGCUGCUUACUCUCGUGGCCCAAUAAUGAGAUGCAGAUGAACUGGGAAAGAAGAGUUUUUUAUUUAUGUAACUGGUUACAGGGAGAAGGCCUGGAAAUUAUCAAAAUUUGGACUAACUCAAAAUUACAGUUUUCUAGAACUUAUGUGCCUUCUAAGCUAUAUGUCUACGUGUAAGUGUGCAUUUAUCUAAAGACAUAAGUGCUAACUUUUAUUCUGUAACUGAGAUCUGAGUCCUGAAGACCUUCCUCUGGAGCCUUAGUAAAUUUUCUUAAUCUAAAUGGGCCCAGGUGCUGGGGCAAUUACCCUUAUCUUGUCUCCUGCUAAAUCAUGGAGGUUUGAUGAGUUCUUGCAGACCUCCAAUAAACUUGUUUGUGGAGACCUGGGGGGUUUCUUCAGACCCCCAAUGAAACUUGCUUAAUUCUAAAUGGGUCCUUUUAAGAAUUCCUUUUUUAUCUCAUCAUGCUUCAAGGCCCAGGAAAGGCCUGGACAAAACUCUUGGUGAGCCUUUGUUACAUUCCAGCAUUUGUAUUAGAGCACUGGCUCUAUCAGCUUUUAAUAUUUAACUUAACCACUCAGUCAGUGCUGAAACAGUUGUUACAGAGGCCUGCGUUAGUGAGACCUGGCCUGCCGCAGCAGUGAAUGAUGAUCACAUUUAUGAAUAGCCACUGCACUCCAGCCUGGGCAACAUAGCAAGACCCUGUCUCUAAUUAAAGACAAAAACCAAGACCUGAGUAAUGGAGUAGAGAUGAAUUGGGUGCAUCCUUGGAAGGCCCCUUCAAGGAAGUGCUAUUUUUCUUUCAAGGAAUAAUACAAGGAGUUAGCCAUGCAAGAUCUGAGGGAAGAACAUUCCAGACACAGUACAGAGCAAGUCUAGAGGGUUUUGAUUUGGAAUAAGCUUGCUGGACUUGAGAAUCAAUGAGGCAAGCAGUGUGACUAGAGCACAGUGUGUAACCAUUAGGAAAUAAGGAGAUCCAUUUAGAAAGGUAGACUGGGGCUUCCGCAGGACAGCCUUUAAAAGCCAGAACAAGUUUAAGUUUUGUACAGGUGGUGAAAAUUCCUGGAUUCUUUUAAGCACAUGACCUACUGAUAUGAGAUGGGUAAGCCCAAGGUUCCUGGGAAUACAGAGGAGGGACCUGUAACCUAGGCUUGGGAGGUAAAGAAGAUGCUUCUUUUAUUUUUUGUGAAUGUGAAGUCAUUUUUUUCUACUCUGGCUUCACAACAAAGGCCAACAAGUAAUUUAGAGGACCCAGAGUAAAUCGCUGGGACAAAUCCAGCAUAAUCUUGAGUCCUGCCUCUUGCUUUUUUUUCUUGGUUCUGUUUCUUGGGCUGGAUUUUACACAACUCACUGGUAUCUUAUUGAAGAUACAGAGGAAUAAAUACAGAAUGGAGAGAAGGAUCUCACUCUGAUAGCUACCAAACCUAUUCUUGAAAUAUUCUGGCACUGUCACCACCUGUACAAGCAAUGAGACAAGUCACCAUCAACAGUGAGUGCUGAAGAGGCAGACCCAGGGGGAUGAGUCUUGCUCACAAGUUCUGGUUGUUAGAGACAUGGCUGAUUCUGGGAGUAGCCCAAGAAUUCAAGAUGGGGAGUCACUGCCCCUGGCAUCUGUUAAGAUGGGAGAAAUAAGAAAGGAGAAUAAACACCACUGUCUCCCAGGAGUUUGGAAUCCAGCUUCUUGUGCAAUAUUUGAUGCAGAAGAAAAUCCAGCUGAGAAUGGUAAUGAUGACAAAUCCCUUUUAUGGAAUAAUCAUAGAGCAAAAUCAAGUGCUUAAUCACAUAGUACAAAGAUAGCCAGUGUUCAAGAGAGACAGGUCCUGACUACACAGCUCUGUGACUUGUCCUGUGCCAACACUGCCGGUGUGCAUGCUGGUGUCCCAUACAAUCCUGCUGUAUCUCAGGCUGUGCACACCAAGACGACAAGAACCAUGCCCUUUUUGUUCACUAUAUUCCUGGACCAUAGCUCAGUGCCUGGCUCAUGGUAGGUGAAUAGAUACUAAUGAAUAUUGUUCCACUUUCUAUCCUGACUAUUCUCAUAUGUUCUUGUCCACUGACCUCAAACAUGUCUAUUUUAAGUUCUAUCUCAAAUUCUACCUGCUUUAUCAAGACUUACCUGGGGACUUCACAAGAACCAUAUGCCCUCUUCUUCUAAAUACCUGUAGCUUUUAUUAUUUUCACCUUUGAUUUGGCUCUAAAUCGUAGAUGGCUUACUUUUUUAGCAAGGUCCCAAGCUUCCCAAGCUGUUUCACACUUACUACUUAUAUCUUUGCUAGGGCUGCCAUAACAAAGUAAACUGUUCAUUCUGCACUGCCUUGCCUUUUCUGCAGAAGCCUCAAUAAAGGCAGUAUCCCAACCCUUCCCUUUGUCUUUUUCCUCCUGACCACCUGAUGUCUUUCCCAUGUGGUCCUGCAUGGCAUGCCAUGCCUCCUGUCUCUAGGACCUGUGAGUAUAAUAAACUUUUUUUUUCUGAGCUUCUAUGUCUCCUCCUGUGGCUGCACCCAACCCAUCUGACUGGCUCAUAAAGAAUACAAAAUAGAGUGUGUAGUGGUAUCUUAUUUAUUUACUUAGUUUAGAAAUGGUGUCUUGUUCUGUUGCUCCAACUGGCCUUGAGCUCUUGGGCUCAAUCAGUCCUCCCACCUUGGCCUCCCAAGUAGCUGGGACUAUAGGCGUGUGACACCAUGCCCAGCUUGGUAUCUUAUUUGAAUUAGCAUUUCCCUAAUGAUUAAUAACCUUUUAAUUAUUUGCCAUUU